UACGUAGGGCGCAAGCGUUAUCCGGAAUUAUUGGGCGUAAAGAGCUCGUAGGCGGUUGUCGCGUCUGCCGGUGAAAGUCCGGGCUCAACUCCGGAUCUGCGGUGGGUACGGGCAGACUAGAGUGAUGUAGGGGAGACUGGAAUUCUGGUGUAGCGGUGAAAUGCGCAGAUAUCAGGAGGAACACCGAUGGCGAAGGCAGGUCUCUGGGCAUUAACUGACGCUGAGGAGCGAAAGCAUGGGGGAGCGAACAGG
rnacentral:rRNA from 1 species